rnacentral:tRNA from 1 species
GGGGAUUUGGCUCAGUGGUAGAGCGCUUGCCUAGCAAGCGCAAGGCCCUGGGUUCGAUCCCCAGCUUCCA